rnacentral:rRNA from 1 species
CCUACGGGGGGCUGCAGUGGGGAAUAUUGGACAAUGGGGGCAACCCUGAUCCAGCCAUGCCGCGUGUGUGAAGAAGGCCCUCGGGUUGUAAAGCACUUUCAGUGAGGAAGAACGCCUGGUGGUUAAUACCCAUCAGGAAAGACAUCACUCACAGAAGAAGCACCGGCUAACUCCGUGCCAGCAGCCGCGGUAAUACGGAGGGUGCGAGCGUUAAUCGGAAUUACUGGGCGUAAAGCGCGCGUAGGUGGCUUGAUAAGCCGGUUGUGAAAGCCCCGGGCUCAACCUGGGAACGGCAUCCGGAACUGUCAAGCUAGAGUGCAGGAGAGGAAGGUAGAAUUCCCGGUGUAGCGGUGAAAUGCGUAGAGAUCGGGAGGAAUACCAGUGGCGAAGGCGGCCUUCUGGACUGACACUGACACUGAGGUGCGAAAGCGUGGGUAGCAAACAGGGUUAGAUACCCUUGUAGUC